rnacentral:rRNA from 1 species
AGAGUCAAAUAGUACGUGAAAUUGUUGAAAGGGAAACGAUUGAAGCCAGUCGUACCGGCGGGUAAUCAGCCUUUUGGGUGUGAUUAUGUGGAGCGUGAAGAGUUAAUCACCUUCAUCUUUGCAUAUUCGUGCACUUUGGGUGUACUUGCUCGUGUGGUAGGUUAACAUCAAUUUUGAUCAUCAUAAAAUGAUUGGAGGAAUGUAGCUUCGAUCUUGUAUUGAAGUGUUAUAGCCUUCGGUAGAUGUGAUGAUUGGGAUUGAGGAUUGCAACGGAUACCUUUCGGGGCUACCUGUCUGAUCUCUGAAAGUUGCUCUGGUGCUGAAAGCUUGCUUAUGGUAUCAAAGUUUGACGUUCAAUAGGUUAGAAUGGGAUAAAUUCGUUAAGGAUGUUGACGUAAUGGCUUUAAACGACC